GUGAGGAAUAUUGGUCAAUGGGCGGGAGCCUGAACCAGCCAAGUCGCGUGAAGGAAGAAGGAUCUAUGGUUCGUAAACUUCUUUUGCAGGGGAAUAAAGUGCAGGACGUGUCCUGUUUUGUAUGUACCCUGAGAAUAAGGAUCGGCUAACUCCGUGCCAGCAGCCGCGGUAAUACGGAGGAUCCGAGCGUUAUCCGGAUUUAUGGGGUUUAAAGGGUGCGUAGGUGGUUUGAUAAGUCAGCGGUGAAAGUUUGCAGCUUAACUGUAAAAAUGCCGUUGAAACUGUCUGACUUGAGUGUAAAUGAGGUAGGCGGAAUGCGUGGUGUAGCGGUGAAAUGCAUAGAUAUCACGCAGAACUCCGAUUGCGAAGGCAGCUUACUAAGCUACAACUGACACUGAAGCACGAAAGCGUGGGGAUCAAACAGGAUUCGAUACCCCUGUAGUCC
rnacentral:rRNA from 1 species